GUGUUCACUUCAGCAGCACAUAUACUAGAAUUGGAACCAUACAGAGAAGAUUAGCAUGGCCCAUGCACAAGAAAAAAAAUAAAAACUUAUGUGGAAAAAGUUUCU